AGGAAUAACACGUCACGUCCGGUAGCUGCCUGGCUUUGUGAUGUUAUUCAUGUUCAUCAGAAAGUUGUCAAUUUCUUUUUUUCCUGGCUCUAACCUAUCUUUUUUGGACGAAAACCCCAAACCUGCAGAAAGCAACCUCGCCUCACGUGAACGUCGCGUGGGUUCUCUUCGCUCGCCGCCAGAGGUCGCUCGACUCCAGCGUUACAACGUUAAAUGUAAGGAUAAUAUGCAAAGAAAAAUACCAUGAGAGCCCUCACAGUCUGGACCCCACUGCUCCCCAUCGCCAUGUGCACAGAUAUGGGGUUCAUACUCUAUGGUAGUUUGCAUUGGCGGUAAAAUAAACGUAUUUGUGACUGUAUGGAAAUAUAGAUGGAAGGCAUGUAUACGUUAUUGGUGUGGAAAAGUAGCACUAAGGGAAUUAUCUUCACACAUUCAACAUUGUAAGCAUGAGUGGUUCAUUAAAGUAUGUAAAAUCUCAGAAGAUUUCUCUCAAUUUUGAGGUAGCUGUCAGUUCUUCUGAAUUACAGUUUGAAUAAAAACUUAAGAUGUUGGCCUUAACGCAAUGUCACAUGAUGAUCUGCAUUCCAGCCCCAAUAAUCCAUCAGGAAUCAGGAAACAUUUAUUAGCCAUCUGAUUCGAGGCAUUUAUAUAACUUGACUUAACUUCUUCUUGUAGUUCAUUUAUAUUCUGCUGAAUGAUUGAUUCAUAUUAGAUUACCUUUUUUCAGACUAAAUUGAUCAUCAACAGCUUGUAAAUCUUGAUGACUACUUAUAACAAACUGAAAAGGUCAUCAGUCAUCAUCAACAUGAUUGUAGAUAAAGGGAAAACAAAUGAAUAUAUCAGUUUCCUGUGUGUGUGUGUGUGUGUGUGUGUGCGUGUGUGCAUGUGGCUGGGUGAGUGCAUGAAUGAUUCAGCUUCACCGGAACAUGACACGGAUUAGAUAUUCAAUGUGUCAGAAUGGUUGUUCAACUGUUGGUGGACUGGUUGAAAAUGUCUAGCCACACCCCAGACUUGGAGCCUAUGAGUCUCUGGGAAAUAAUAUGCUAUAAUUAUAAGGUGUGAAAUUAAAUCAACUGUCUUUCACAAUUUAUAAUAAAAGUGUCAAUGUAACGCAA